rnacentral:lncRNA from 1 species
UUUUUGACUAAAAUUUGCAUAAACACCAGCCACGUACUGCACAUAUUCUCAGGCAUAGCAGAACUUUGUUCUCAGGCAUUACAUCAAGCAAAUACAUCACAUGUCACCAACAAAUCAACAACAGCGGUACAAUCAUCCAUAGAAGAUGAACUAAAAAGCACACACAAGUGAGACCCUGUUCUUCCAUAGCUUGGUCUACUUCGACUAGAACGGACAACCCCUUUUUUUGCAAAAAAAUCUCCAUUGUUUAUGCACGGGUAGCUUCCUACUUGCACCUUCUAGCUCACCAGCAUCUGCAAGAUGGAAUGGAUAUUAAGAAUAAUGCAAAGAAUAUGUUGGAGAAGAAGUUCUCGGGAGAAGAGGGAGACGUCCAUAUUGUGUCAGAGGUGCGCCAUAGAGGGGAGGACGGGCGGCGCGCAUGGGGGCUAGCGGUGGAUGCCGGCGCUGAUGUGCGGGAGGGAGGAGGGGGGUAGGGCGGUGGUGCGGUACCGAAAGUCGACUGAUGGCGGGCAGCAGUAGGAGGUGGCAGCGUGUGUUGACGGCGGCUGGAUCCGGUCGCGGGGGCAGCACGGCGGCCGGAUCCAAGGGCGGCGCAGCGACCGGACCCAGGAUCGGGUGGCACAAGGGGUGGAUCCAUGCGAGGAGGGCGGUGCGUGCGCGGAGAUAGAAGGCAGCAGGCGGCCGCCGUAGCGGAGGGUGGAGCGGGAGGUAGCGUGGCAACCGACUGCGUUCGUGUGCUCCAGGGUGGGGGUGGCCGGCGGCGGGAGGUGCGCCCGCACCAGGGGGCGGCGGCGGUCAUGGAGGGGGCGGGGAAGGAGGGGAUCGGGUGGGGAUGGGCUGCUGGGGGUCGUGGAGGUAGUGGUCGGGGGUGGGUGGAUAUCAUUUUUUUCUUUUCUCCACUCUUGUGCCUGUAUAGGAGCCAACCGAUGUUUCCGAGAUCCAGAAAAAAGGAAAACAGAGCGACAGACCGGCCCGUCCCGAUCCCCUUUCGCCGUCGUCCUCCCCCGCAACCCCGCCGCCACCCUCCUGCCGUGGCUCGCAUGCAGCGCCGCCGACAUCCUCCCGCGGACCCUCCCGUCCGGCGAUGCGGGACGCAAGGGAGGUCGGAGCCACCGUCCCCAAGCGCGGUCGCUGGGGUUCGAUUCGCGUCGCCGCCGACCCCGCGCGCUCCCACAACCCACCUCCGAGCCCUGCCCCGACCACAACCUUCCUGCGCCCCGCGCCCGUCGCUACUGCCACGCGCCCUGCGCUCCCUUUUAUUUGGCCGGGGUCGCUGCUUCCUUCAUCUGCGCCAUGCCGGAGCGUAUACGCCGACCUUCCGCCAUCAAGCUCAAUAAGUGAGGGCCGCGAGCAAAAAAGAGGAGCUACCUGCCAUCACUGACGUUGCACAGCUCCGGCCAACAGCACGCAUCCGCUGUCGACCUUCUCGCGGCAGUCACCUUGACCUUCUUGACGUAGCAUCUUGCUAGCAACAACUACCCAGCAACACAUCCCGCACGAGGUCAGCACGCUGUCCACCACUAGUGGAGCGCCACUCGUGCCACCGACCAACUCACCUUCGUCGAUGUUGGCCAAACCAGGCACCUGCCCGCUCUAUGUUGGCUGCCCUACGGAUGGCUGUUUCUCGCAAGGGUCCAUGCGCUGGCCUGGCCAUGGCCUGCGGGGGCACCUGAACCUGAACUUCAGUAGUGCCUCUCCGACAUCGUCGUUGAGUGCCAUUGUCGGCCAGCGAGUAGCCACACCCGUGCUCCCAAUUUCUAGGGACUUCUCCAUCACUCUACUUUCCCUAUUGGGUGCUUGGAAUGGAACGAACUAGAUUUGGGGGAAAAGCAAUCACUGUUCAACUUUCCCCAAGCAUGCUUCAGUUAAAGCAAAAAGCUACAGGAAAGUUCAGAGUCGGGAUUAGUUUGACUUCAAGUUACCUCCUUGGUUUAAUUAGCCAUACUUGGACUGCUAGUCUCUAUUGAGAUUGUUCCAUUUGUGUGCUUCAACCCAGCAACUGAUGCAUCUCCUGCGACCGGCUAGUCCCCUGGUCCCUGCUUCUUCAGAGAUAAUUUGCGUACACGUUUUGUGGAAGCUAUGCACUAUGGAUCUGUACACAAACGUAUACUAUUGCGCUGCCACUCCUCAGUCUCCCAAAUCACAAAAUAAAGCAGACGUUCGGGUUCUAUCGAGCUACAAGUUCAGAGUUUCUCCCUUCUGAAUAAUUCAGAUUUCUGCACCUGCAUAAGCCGGGUAGUAAUUUCCCUUAUACAAGUAUGAUGUCCAGCUUAGUUGCAAAACAUUAGCUUUUUUGUUUUUAUUGUCGUAUACUUCUGCUACCUGAGAUAUGGAUAACACUAGGUAAGCUGUCAACUUCUGCAUAUGCACUAUGCUUUGGAAGCUUCAGUAUACAGUGGAGAGAACUCUAGAGAGAGACAGAUGGCAUUGUGUGAUGAGGAUAGGGUGAGAGAGUACUAAUGAAAAGAGUGGUGGAGACGUCUACUUCAAUUUGACCACUAGUUAGUGCCUUUUUAUAAGUACGCAAGAAAGCUACAUACGUUUCUAACAAUUUGAGUGUGCCCUCUACCUGUUUGUUUUAAUGCUUGGGGGAGCUUAUUCUAGUAUUAUUUGUGGAAAAGAACGUACAACAGAAGUGCCGUUCUAGGUGAAGUUUUUUCUAAUUUUACAUAUGACCAUUGCGAACAUAACUUCUAGGUUGGUAUUCCAGGAAUUUUACAUUUGUCUGCCUUGGUAAUUUCUUUCCUAUAAAUGUCUGCACAGGGUCACAGGGAGCAGACUGACAGUAUAAUUACUAGAUAUAAAUGUGAAGUUCAUGUUUUAGAAAUUCAUAAGUUCACGUGUACCACAUACUGAAGAAAUUCGUCAAUGGAAAAAAAGGACUUCCUAGACCAUUUCACCGAC